rnacentral:rRNA from 1 species
UACGUAGGGUGCGAGCGUUGUCCGGAAUUACUGGGCGUAAAGAGCUCGUAGGCGGCUUGUCACGUCGGGUGUGAAAGACCGGGGCUUAACUCCGGUUCUGCAUUCGAUACGGGCUAGCUAGAGUGUGGUAGGGGAGAUCGGAAUUCCUGGUGUAGCGGUGAAAUGCGCAGAUAUCAGGAAGAACACCUAUGGCGAAGGCAGCUCUCUGGGACGGUACUGACGCUGAGACGCGAAAGCGUGGGGAGCGAACAGG